UACAGAGGUCCCAAGCGUUGUUCGGAUUCACUGGGCGUAAAGGGUGCGUAGGUGGUCGGGUAAGUCUGAUGUGAAAUCUCUGGGCUCAACCCAGAAAUUGCAUUGGAUACUAUCUGGCUAGAGGAGUGGAGGGGGGACUGGAAUGCUUGGUGUAGCAGUGAAAUGCGUAGAUAUCAAGCGGAACACCAGUGGCGAAGGCGAGUCCCUGGACACUUCCUGACACUGAGGCACGAAAGCGUGGGGAGCAAACAGG
rnacentral:rRNA from 1 species